rnacentral:SRP_RNA from 1 species
GUAAAGGCAUGGGCUUAGGAUCUCAGCUACUGGGGAAACAUGGACUGGUGGAUCUCUUGGGCUGGGGAGUUCUGAGAUAUACUGGACUAAGCUGAGUGUCUUUAUUAAGUUUGACCUUAAUAUGGUGAGCUCCUCAGGGUGAGUGGCCACCAGGUUGCCUAAGGAGGGGUAAACCAGCCCAGGGUGGAAAUGGAGGAAGUCAAAGCUUCCACGAAAAUCAAAAUGGGACUUAGCCCAUGAAUAAUCUCUGCACUUUCAGUGUGGACAAUAUGGGAAGACCCAGUCAA